rnacentral:rRNA from 1 species
GUUUGAUUAUGGCUCAGAUUGAACGCUGGCAGGAUGCUUCACAUGCAAGUCGAACGGCAGCACGGACUUCGGUCUGGUGGCGAGUGGCGAACGGGUGAGUAAUGUAUCGGAACGUGCCUAGUAGCGGGGAUAACUUGCGCCAGCGUCGCCCCUAACCUGUCGCCCUUCGAGGGAUGAGGAUACUACAGGCUCGCACUAUUAGGGCAGCCGACAUCGGGUUAUUCGUUGGGGUGCGGCAACGGCUCACCAGGCGAUCGCCGCUGGUUUGAAGAGGGACAGCUACACUGGGACGAGACACGGCCCAGACUCCUGCAGGAGGCAGCAGUGGGAAUUUUGGACAAUGGGGAAACCAGUCAGCCAUCACACGUGUGCGAUAGAAGGCCUUCGGGUUAUACUUCUUUUGUUGGGGAAAGAAACGGCACGGGAUAAUACCCAAAAUGCAACUGACGGUACCUCUGCGAGGCCGGCACCGGCUAACUAUGUGUAGCAGCGCGGUAAUACGUAGUUCAGCGUUAAUCAGGAAUUACUGGGCGUGGCGGUAUGCGCAGGCGGUUCGGAAGAAAAGAUGUGAAAUCCCAGAGCUUAACUUUGGAACUGCAUUUUUUAACUACCGAGCUAGAGAAUGUGUCAGAGAGGGAGGUGGAAUUCCGCUGUGUAGCAGUGAAAUGCACGUAGACAUGCGGAGGAACACCGAUGGCGAAGGCAGCCUCCUGGGAUAACACUGGCGCUCAUGCACGAAAAGCGUGGGAGCAAACAGAUUAGAUACCUGGUAGUCCAUAACGAUAUCAACUAGCUGUUGGGGCCUUCGGGCCUUGGUAGCGCAGCUAACGCGUGAGUUGACCGCCUGGGGAGUACGGUCGCAAGAUUAAAACUCAAAGGAAUUGACGGGGACCCGCACAAGCGGUGGAUGAUAUGGAUUAAUUCGAUGCAACGCGAAAAACCUUUCACCCUUGACAUGUCUGGAAUCCCGAAGAGAUUUGGAGUGCUCGCAAGAGAACCGGAACACAGGUGCUGCAUGGCUGUCGUCAGCUCGUGUCGUGAGAUGUUGGGUUAAGUCCCGCAACAGGCGCAGCCCUUGUCAUUAGUUGCUACGAAAGGGCACUCUAAUGAGACUGCCGGUGACAAACCGGAGGAAGGUGGGGAUGACGUCAGAUCCUCAUGGCCCUUAUGGGUAGGGCUUCACACGUCAUACAAUGGUCGGGACAGAGGGUCGCCAACCCGCGAGGGAGACGAUCCGAAGCCCGAUCGUAGUCCAGAUCGCAGUCUGCAACUCGACUGCGUGAAGUCGGAGAUCAUGGCUAAUCGCGGAUCAGCAUGUCGCGGUGAAUACAUUCCCGGGUCUUGUACACACCGCCCGUCACCUGCGGGAGUGGGUUUACCCAAAAUGAUUAAGCCUAACCGUAAGGAGGGCGAUUACGUGGGAUUCGCGAGCUGGGGUGAAGUCGUAACUGGAGCCA